rnacentral:rRNA from 1 species
CCUACGGGAGGCAGCAGUGGGGAAUCUUGCACAAUGGACGAAAGUCUGAUGCAGCGACGCCUCGUGAGUGAUGAAGGUCUUCGGAUCGUAAAGCUCUUUCGACUGGGAAGAUAAUGACGGUACCAGGAGAAGAAGCUGCGGCUAACUACGUGCCAGCAGCCGCGGUAAUACGUAGGCAGCAAGCGUUGUUCGGAAUUACUGGGCGUAAAGAGUGUGUAGGCGGUGUCGUAAGUUUGGCGUGAAAUCUCCCGGCUUAACUGGGAGGGUGCGCCGAAGACUGCGAUGCUUGAGGGUUGGAGAGGAAAGUGGAAUUUCUGGUGUAGCGGUGAAAUGCGUAGAUAUCAGAAGGAACGUCUGUGGUGUAGACGGCUUUCUGGACAACUCCUGACGCUGAGACACGAAAGCGUGGGUAGCAAACAGGAUUAGAUACCCUGGUAGUCCACGCCCUAAACGAUGCAUACUUGGUGUGAGCCNUCUCUUGUUCGUGCGGAGCUACGCGUAGUAGUGCGCCGUGGGAGGUACGGUCGCGAGGCGUGUAACGUUACGAAAGGUAAGUUAGUUACGGCGUUGAGACGNGCCGACGGACGACGACGAGGGAGGAGG